rnacentral:rRNA from 1 species
UCGAGCGCGCCUUCGGGCGAGCGGCGGACGGGUUAGUAACGCGUGGGAACGUGCCCAGAUCUACGGAAUAGCCACUGGAAACGGUGAGUAAUACCGUAUACGCCCUUCGGGGGAAAGAUUUAUCGGAUUUGGGUCGGCCCGCGUUAGAUUAGGUAGUUGGUGGGGUAACGGCCUACCAAGCCUACGAUCUAUAGCUGGUUUUAGAGGAUGAUCAGCAACACUGGGACUGAGACACGGCCCAGACUCCUACGGGAGGCAGCAGUGGGGAAUCUUGGACAAUGGGGGCAACCCUGAUCCAGCCAUGCCGCGUGAGUGAAGAAGGCCCUAGGGUCGUAAAACUCUUUCGCCUGUGAUGAUAAUGACAGUAGCAGGUAAAGAAACCCCGGCUAACUCCGUGCCAGCAGCCGCGGUAAUACGGAGGGGGUUAGCGUUGUUCGGAAUUACUGGGCGUAAAGCGCACGUAGGCGGAUUAGAAAGUUAGAGGUGAAAUCCCGGGGCUCAACCCCGGAACUGCCUUUAAAACUACUAGUCUAGAGUUCGAGAGAGGUGAGUGGAAUUCCGAGUGUAGAGGUGAAAUUCGUAGAUAUUCGGAGGAACACCGGUGGCGAAGGCGGCUCACUGGCUCGAUACUGACGCUGAGGUGCGAAAGUGUGGGGAGCAAACAGGAUUAGAU